GACAGAGGAUGCAAGCGUUAUCCGGAAUGAUUGGGCGUAAAGCGUCUGUAGGUGGCUUUUCAAGUCCGCCGUCAAAUCCCAGGGCUCAACCCUGGACAGGCGGUGGAAACUACCAAGCUGGAGUACGGUAGGGGCAGAGGGAAUUUCCGGUGGAGCGGUGAAAUGCAUUGAGAUCGGAAAGAACACCAACGGCGAAAGCGACUUACUGGACACAUAUUGACGCUGAGGUGCGAAAGCGUGGGGAGCAAACAGG
rnacentral:rRNA from 1 species